rnacentral:rRNA from 1 species
ACCCGCUGAACUUAAGCAUAUCAAUAAGCGGAGGAAAAGAAACCAACGGGGAUUGCCUCAGUAACGGCGAGUGAAGCGGCAACAGCUCAAAUUUGAAAUCUGGUCCUUCCGGGGCCCGAGUUGUAAUUUGUAGAGGAUGUUUCGGGCGCGGCGCCGGACUAAGUCCCUUGGAACGGGGCGUCACAGAGGGUGAGAAUCCCGUAUGCGACCGGCGACCAAGCCCAUGUGAAACUCCUUCGACGAGUCGAGUUGUUUGGGAAUGCAGCUCAAAAUGGGUGGUAAAUUUCAUCUAAAGCUAAAUACCGGCCAGAGACCGAUAGCGCACAAGUAGAGUGAUCGAAAGAUGAAAAGCACUUUGGAAAGAGAGUCAAACAGUACGUGAAAUUGUUGAAAGGGAAGCGCUUGCAACCAGACCUGCCCGCGGGUGAUCAGCCGUUCUUCUGGGCGGUGCACUCGCCCGUGAUCAGGCCAGCAUCGGUUCGGGCGGCCGGAUAAAGGCCCUGGGAACGUAGCUUCUUUCGGGGAGUGUUAUAGCCCAGGGCGCAAUGCGGCCCGCCGGGACCGAGGACCGCGCUCCGGCUAGGAUGCUGGCGUAAUGGUUGUAAGCGGCCCGUCUUGAAACACGGACCAAGGAGUCUAACAUCUAUGCGAGUGUUUGGGUGGAA